GCCGGGUGCAGUGGCUCAUGCCUGUAAUCCCAGCACUUUGGGAGGCUGAGGUGGGUGGACCACCUGAGGUCAGGACUUUGAGUCCAGCCAGGCCAACAUGAUGAAAGCCCGUCUCUACUAAAAAU